GUGGGGAAUAUUGGGCAAUGGGGGCAACCCUGACCCAGCGACGCCGCGUGGGUGAAGAAAUCCCUCGGGAUGUAAAGCCCUGUUGUAUGGGAAGAGCAGAAGACGGUACCAUACGAGGAAGCCCCGGCAAACUACGUGCCAGCAGCCGCGGUAAUACGUAGGGGGCAAGCGUUGUCCGGAAUUACUGGGCGUAAAGCGCACGCAGGCUGAAUUAUAAGUCGGUAGUCAAAUACGGAGGCUCAACUUCCGGAUAUCUAUCGAUACUGUAAAUCUAGAGUAUGUGAGAGGGAAGCGGAAUGCCCGGUGUAGCGGUGAAAUGCGUAGAUAUCGGGAGGAACACCAGUGGCGAAGGCGGCUUCCUGGCACAAUACUGACGCUCAUGUGCGAAAGCUAGGGCAGCGAACGGGAUUAGAAACCCUGGUAGUCC
rnacentral:rRNA from 1 species